AAGCAGGUCACCAUGAAGUAAGAGCAUGUCUUAUCUUUGCAUGUCAAGCAUUAUUUUGUGUUUCACUUUUAUAGGAGAAGAAAAAGAGACAUUAUGUCAUUCUUCUGAUUGUGAAUUUAAUUAAAAUCCUGAUUCCUGGAUGGUAUCGUGGGCCUAUUGAAUGAGAAUCUCUGGAGCUAGAACUGGAAAUCUGCAUUUUAACAAAUAAGUCUGGUGAUUUUUAGCAUUCUAACAUUGGAGAACUACUGGUGCUGGAGAGUUCAGAUGACCAAUGGUGAAUUUUAUCUCACAUUACUAGCUUCUUCAGUUUUCUUCCCCUCAGUGCUCAGGCCACACAGCAUGUCCUGUGGGACUGGAGAAAUAUGGAGAAUGCAGCACACUUGCUUCCUACUGAAGAUUAAAAUCAAAUUGUUUUGGGACAGCAGAGGAUGAAGAAACUCAUUUUGACUGAAGUUAUUGGAUGAGACAUGGCUGUGGACAACUUCAGAGAAGAUAUAUUUAAGCAGAACCUUAAACUUAUGUCAGAAUUUUUAAUCACCAGAGAUCAGCAAAGCCAAAGGCAUAUAGACUAUUUCUCAGAUGCACUUGUCAAGAUGAGAGAAUGUGGGCAGAGACAUUCGAACAGGGAAUUACUCCUCCCAAGAAUAUUCUUCCAAGGAAAUCCCUGAAAAACCAGAUGGCAGAAGUUACUCAGAAGAAAUGAAAGGAUUUUCCAUUAUUCAAAUAGGAGGUGGAAGAGGAAGUGUGGGAGUAAUUACUGGAUUAAGAUCACUGAAAGACAAGAUUGUCUUUAAGGAAACAGAAGACUGAGAAGAAAAGAAGCUUGCUCAAGGUCACAUAGAGCUGGAAUUUAAAUUCAGAUCUAUUAUACUCUUAAGGACUGUGGAAGGAGCAAAAUCUGAUCCAGAGACUGUGGAUGCUGGAGGAGCGUCAAGGCUGGGAAAGUAACAUGCACUGUGUUCGCAAUCAACAGAAAAGAUAUUUUUAAACAAAAACAAUUUUCCAAGUUUCCAGGAAGAGAAACAAAAGGCUUUUCUAAAAUGAAAGAAACUGUUCUUCUCAUUCUGUGACUUUUAUGUCACUUGGACAACAAGCCAGUGCUUAGGAACGGUUAUUUUCCUGUCGACAUCGCUGCAUGGAUACUUCUUAGAAGAACAUAACAGCAUUAGCACUCAGUCCCAGGUUCUGCUCACCCUCCAAUGGCAGUCGUCUUCAAAAACAAUAAAGAUAUCUGUGCUUGGUCUCUCUGUCUUGAUUACACUGCAGGCACAACCUGUGUGGGGAAACAAUAUCCUGGAUCAUACUGAAGGUUCGCACAGAUGGAACAUUAGUGGGAGGGGUUGCCAGCUACUUCCCUGCCAACUUGUUAGUGCUGGAGACAUUAUCCUCUUAUUUUGCCAGUUUAACAGAAGAUCAGUCGUAAAGAUUCACUGUAGGCUCAGCAACAUAAUUAUUAUCUAUGGUCUCUGCAUUAACUGUGAGAAAACAUCAUAGUCUGAAUCUGCCUAAUUUCAAAUGCCAAGCUGUGCCCACAUUCAGCCCACAACUGAACCUGAAUACUCAAUAUAUCCUUAGCAUUGCUACUGUUGUCAUCAUGGUGGAUGUUAAGUACAGGUUUGCCCAAGCUAUGAUGUUUAAUUGUUGCCUUACUGCUUCUGUAUUUCUUCUGUUUCCCUGACCCUUUUCAACACCAGCCCCAUGCAAUUUAAAACUAUUAAAAAGGUAAAAAUCGGUGUCACAUUUAGUUCUGCUACUCAGUACAGAAGUGCCAAGCCCCUGCAAAUCUGGAAAACAAACUCCUUAACAGAUGGGCCACAUAAAGUUUACAACAUGUGCAAUGUGGGAGGUAGUAUGGCUCUGGGCAAGAAACAGAAGACUGGAAGUUUGGGAGCUCAGGGUUUUUGAAUUUGCUUUUGCUUUUUG
rnacentral:lncRNA from 10 species